rnacentral:tRNA from 2 species
AUUUAAAUAGUUUAAAAAAAAUUUUAGUUUGUGGGACUAAAGAUAUAUAAUAUACAUAAUAUUUUAAAUU